rnacentral:rRNA from 1 species
AUUGAACGCUGGUGGCAGGCUUAACACAUGCAGGUCGAACGGUAACAGGAAUUUUCUUGCUAAUUUGCUGACGAGUGGCGGACGGGUUAGUCAUGCUUGUGAAUCUGGCUUAUGGAGGGGGUUAACUACGGGAAACUGUUGCUAAUACCGCGUAUAUUCUUCGGAUUAAAGGGUUGGACUUUCUAGCCACCUUCCAUAAGAUGAGCCCAAGUGGGAUUAGGUAGUUGGUUAGGUAAAGGCUGACCAAGCCGACGAUCUCUAGCUGGUCUGAGAGGAUGACCAGGCACACGGGAACGGAGACACGGAACAGAAACCUAAGGGAGGAAGCAGGGGGGAAUAUUGGACAAUGGGGGGAAGCCUGAUGCAGCAAUGCCGCGUGAAUGAAGAAGGACUUCGGGUUGUAAAGUUCUUUAGGUGACGAGGAAGGAAGAUAGGUUAAUAGCCUAUCAAAUUGACGUUAAUCACAGAAGAAGCACCGGCUAACUCCGUG